rnacentral:rRNA from 1 species
GCAUAUCAAUAAGCGGAGGAAAAGAAACCAACAGGGAUUGCCUCAGUAACGGCGAAGUGAAGCGGCAACAGCUCAAAUUUGAAAUCUGCCCCCCCGGGCCGAGUUGUAAUUUGCAGAGGAUGCUUUUGGCGAGGUGCCUUCCGAGUUCCCUGGAACGGGACGCCAUAGAGGGUGAGAGCCCCGUCUGGUCGGACACCGAGCCUCUGUAAAGCUCCUUCGACGAGUCGAGUAGUUUGGGAAUGCUGCUCUAAAUGGGAGGUAUAUGUCUUCUAAAGCUAAAUACCGGCCAGAGACCGAUAGCGCACAAGUAGAGUGAUCGAAAGAUGAAAAGCACUUUGAAAAGAGAGUUAAAUAGCACGUGAAAUUGUUGAAAGGGAAGCGUUUAUGACCAGACUUGGCCCGGUUGAUCAUCCAGCGUUCUCGCUGGUGCACUCUGCCGGUCCAGGCCAGCAUCAGUUCGCUCCGGGGGACAAAGGUUUCGGGAAUGUGGCUCCCUCCGGGGAGUGUUAUAGCCCGUUGCGUAAUACCCUGGGGUGGACUGAGGUCCGCGCAUUGCAAGGAUGCUGGCGUAAUGGUCAUCAACGACCCGUCUUGAAACACGGACCAAGGAGUCGUCUUCGUAUGCGAGUGUUCGGGUGCAAAACCCCUACGCGUAAUGAAAGUGAACGCAGGUGAGAGCUUCGGCGCAUCAUCGACCGAUCCUGAUGUUCUCGGAUGGAUUUGAGUAAGAGCAUACGGGGCCGGACCCGAAAGAAGGUGAACUAUGCCUGUAUAGGGUGAAGCCAGAGGAAACUCUGGUGGAGGCUCGCAGCGGUUCUGACGUGCAAAUCGAUCGUCAAAUAUGGGCAUGGGGGGCGAAAGACUAAUCGAACCUUCUAGUAGCUGGGUUUCCGCCGA